rnacentral:lncRNA from 1 species
CAGGAAUCCAAGGACUCCCUGAGGUGUUCGCGGCAGGGAUCUCUGCCCGUGCAGCCCGUCCAUUUCACAGCACAGAAAACUGAGGCUCCGACGUGUUUAAAGCGCUGUUUCUUCGAGUUGGAGGACCUAGAUUCAACUCUCCCGAAAAGCCGUGACCGUAGGCAAGUUACUCAAACCUCCGAGUUCAGUGUCUCCACCUGUAAAACGACGAUAAUAGUGUCCACUUCCUGUGCUUGAUGAGAGGACAAAAUGAAUGAGGCGCAGGAGCCCGCAUCAAGCCAAGGAGGCAGUUCAGUUCAGUCGCUCAGUCAUGUCCAACUCUUUGCGACCCCAUGAAUUGCAGCACGCCAGGCCUCACUGUCCAUCGCCAACU